AAUCGAACUCGGAGAUAGCUGGUUCUCCCCGAAAUAGCUUUAGGGCUAGCGUUAUGUUAGAUUACCGGAGGUAAAGCACUGAAUGGUAGCGGGGCCGAUAAGGUUACCAACGCCUAUCAAACUCAGAAUGCCGGCUAAUUGAUGCAUAGCAGUCAGACAGUGUGAGAUAAGUUUCAUUGUCAAAAGGGAAACAGCCCAGACCCACAGCUAAGGUCCCAAAUGUAUGCUAAGUGGAAAACGAUGUGGAGUUGCGAAAACAACCAGGAUGUUGGCUUAGAAGCAGCCACUCAUUAAAAGAGUGCGUAAUAGCUCACUGGUCGAGUGACUCUGCGCCGAAAAUUUAACGGGGCUAAACUAUACACCGAAGCUUGGGAUACAUCUAAUGUAUGGUAGGAGAGCGUUCUGUAUGGGGAGAAGUCGUAGCGAAAGCGGCGGUGGACUAUACAGAAGUGAGAAUGCCGGAAUAAGUAGCGAGAAUUAAGUGAGAAUCUUAAUGGCCGAAAGUCUAAGGUUUUUGGAGGAAGGUUCGUCCGCUCCAAGUAAGUCGGGAGCUAAGGUCAGGCCGAAAGGCGUAGCCGAUGCACAUACGGUUGAUAUUCCGUAACCAUCUGUAAUUUAAGCAAAGGGACACUUCAAAAGGGUGUGACCCGGGCGUUGGUUGACCCGGGCGUAAGGGACCGAAAUUAGAGUAGGGAAGCACACUUAGCUGAAGGCGAGAAAAGCUUUGCGUAUAGAAACAGAUGCCCGUACCGCAAACCGACACAGGUGGACAGGAAGAGAAUUCUAAGGCCAGCGGGAGAAGGGUAGUUAAGGAACUCGGCAAAUUGACUCCGUAACUUCGGAAUAAGGAGUGCUCGAAAGAGCCGCAGAGAAUAGGCCCAGGCGACUGUUUAGCAAAAACACAGGUCUCUGCCAAAUCGAAAGAUGAAGUAUAGGGGCUGACACCUGCCCGGUGCCGGAAGGUUAAGAGGAGGAGUGAGAGCUCCGAAUUGAAGCCCCGGUAAACGGCGGCCGUAACUAUAACGGUCCUAAGGUAGCGAAAUUCCUUGUCGGGUAAGUUCCGACCCGCACGAAUGGUGUAACGAUCUGGGCACUGUCUCAACUACCCACCCGGCGAAAUUGUAGUACCGGUGAAGAUGCCGGUUACCUGCGGCAAGACGGAAAGACCCCAUGGAGCUUUACUGUAGCCUGAUAUUGGGUUUCGGAAAUCUAUGUACAGGAUAGGCGGGAGACUAGGAAACAUGAGCGUCAGCUUGUGUGGAGUCGAUGUUGGGAUACCGCCCUUAGGUUUCUGGAAUUCUAACCUGCGGCCGUGAAUCCGGUCGGGGGACAUUGUCAGGUGGGCAGUUUGACUGGGGCGGUCGCCUCCGAAAAGGUAACGGAGGCGCUCAAAGGUUAGCUCAGCACGGACGGAAACCGUGCCUCUGAGUGUAAACGCAAAAGCUAGCCUAACUGCGAGGGUGACGGCCCGAGCAGUAACGAAAGUUGGAGUUAGUGAUCCGGCGGUAUGUGAAUGGAAAUGCCGUCGCUCAACGGAUAAAAGCUACCCUGGGGAUAACAGGCUGAUCUCCCCCAAGAGUCCACAUCGACGGGGAGGUUUGGCACCUCGAUGUCGGCUCAUCACAUCCUGGGGCUGUAUUCGGUCCCAAGGGUUCGGCUGUUCGCCGAUUAAAGUGGUACGCGAGCUGGGUUCAGAACGUCGCGAGACAGUUCGGUCCCUAUCUGUCGUGGGCGCAGGAUAUUUGAGGAGCUCUGUCCUUAGUACGAGAGGACCGGGAUGGACGUACCUCUGGUGCACCAGUUGUCAUGCCAAUGGCACGGCUGGGCAGCUAUGUACGGAACGGAUAAACGCUGAAAGCAUCUAAGCGUGAAGCCGACUCCAAGAUUAGAUAUCCCAUCGUAUAACGAGUAAGACCCCUUGAAGACUACGAGGUUGAUAGGCUGCGUGUGUAAGUGCCGUGAGGCAUUCAGCUUGGCAGUACUAAUAGGUCGAGGGCUUGACCA
rnacentral:rRNA from 1 species